GCUGGGAUAGCCUAGCCUGGUAAGACGCAGGUCUGGAAAACCUGUGCACGUAAGUGCCCGGGAGUUCAAAUCUCCCUCCCAGCG
rnacentral:tRNA from 5 species